GAUGAACGCUGGCGGCGUGCCUAAUACAUGCAAGUCGAGCGAACAGACGAGGAGCUUGCUCCUCUGACGUUAGCGGCGGACGGGUGAGUAACACGUGGAUAACCUACCUAUAAGACUGGGAUAACUUCGGGAAACCGGAGCUACUACCGGAUAAUAUAUUGAACCGCAUGGUUCAAUAGUGAAAGACGGUUUUGCUGUCACUUAUAGAUGGAUCCGCGCCGCAUUAGCUAGUUGGUAAGGUAACGGCUUACCAAGGCAACGAUGCGUAGCCGACCUGAGAGGGUGAUCGGCCACACUGGAACUGAGACACGGUCCAGACUCCUACGGGAGGCAGCAGUAGGGAAUCUUCCGCAAUGGGCGAAAGCUUGACGGAGCAACGCCGCGUGAGUGAUGAAGGUCUUCGGAUCGUAAAACUCUGUUAUUAGGGAAGAACAAAAGUGUAAGUAACUAUGCACGUCUUGACGGUACCUAAUCAGAAAGCCACGGCUAACUACGUG
rnacentral:rRNA from 1 species